rnacentral:rRNA from 1 species
CCGUACAUGAUAUGGACUACCAGGGCAAUGUGAUACAGUCUCUAAGAGUCGAGUUGUUUGGGAAUGCAGCUCAAAGUGGGUGGUAAAUUCCAUCUAAGGCUAAAUAUAGGUGAGAGACCGAUAGCAAACAAGUACCGUGAGGGAAAGAUGAAAAGAACUUUGGAAAGAGAGUUAACAGUACGUGAAAUUGUUAAAAGGGAAACAUUUGAAGUUAGACUUGUUAUUGUUGGUUCAGCUCUUUAUAAGGGUGUAUUCCAAUGGUUAACAGACCAGCAUCAAUUUUUGGGUGUUAGAUAAGGGUCUUGAGAAUGUAGCAACUUUGGUUGUGUUAUAGAUCUUGACUUGAUAUAAUGCUUAGGAUUGAGGAACGCAGUGAGCUUCUUUAUUGAAGUGGAUCUUUUUAGAUC